AAGUCGUAACAAGGUUUCCGUAGGUGAACCCGCGGAAGGAUCAUUAAAGAGAUAGGGUCUUCAUGGCCCGACCUCCAACCCUCUGUUGUUAUAACUACCUUGUUGCUUUGGCGGGACCGUCUCGGUCUCCGAGCGUACUAACCCUCGGGUUGGUGAGCGCCCGCCAGAGUCACAACAUCUGUAUAAUACCAGUCGUCUGAGUAUAAAUUUUAAUUAAAUUAAA
rnacentral:misc_RNA from 1 species